rnacentral:tRNA from 2 species
UAGGCCAAGGCCCGCUGGCUUGAGGCAGCUAAUUGUUAAUUAGUGUUAUUUGUGGGAUCGAGGCCCACUGGUCUAG